CCCUUUGGGUGUGACUGCGUACCUUUUGUAUAAUGGGUCAGCGACUUAUAUUCUGUAGCAAGGUUAACCGAAUAGGGGAGCCGGAGGGAAACCGAGUCUUAAUUGGGCGUUAAGUUGCAGGGUAUAGACCCGAAACCCGGUGAUCUAGCCAUGGGCAGGUUGAAGGUUGGGUAACACUAACUGGAGGACCGAACCGACUAAUGUUGAAAAAUUAGCGGAUGACCUGUGGCUGGGGGUGAAAGGCCAAUCAAACCGGGAGAUAGCUGGUUCUCCCCGAAAGCUAUUUAGGUAGCGCCUCGUGAAUUCAUCUCCGGGGGUAGAGCACUGUUUCGGCUAGGGGGCCAUCCCGGCUUACCAACCCGAUGCAAACUGCGAAUACCGGAGAAUGUUAUCACGGGAGACACACGGCGGGUGCUAACGUCCGUCGUGAAGAGGGAAACAACCCAGACCGCCAGCUAAGGUCCCAAAGUCAUGGUUAAGUGGGAAACGAUGUGGGAAGGCCCAGACAGCCAGGAUGUUGGCUUAGAAGCAGCCAUCAUUUAAAGAAAGCGUAAUAGCUCACUGGUCGAGUCGGCCUGCGCGGAAGAUGUAACGGGGCUAAACCAUGCACCGAAGCUGCGGCAGCGAACGUAUCACUUAAAGCGAUUCAGCGGGUUACGAUUGACGGAGCGAAGCGACGUCAAAGCGUAUACAAAGUCGAGUCGGUUUAAGGAUACGUUCGUUGGGUAGGGGAGCGUUC
rnacentral:rRNA from 1 species